rnacentral:rRNA from 1 species
GAUGAACGCUGGCGGCGUGCCUAAUACAUGCAAGUCGAGCGAACAGAUAAGGAGCUUGCUCCUUUGACGUUAGCGGCGGACGGGUGAGUUACACGUGGAUAACCUACCUAUAAGACUGGGAUAACUUCGGGAAACCGGAGCUAAUACCGGAUAACAUAUUGAACCGCAUGGUUCAAUAGUGAAAGGCGGCUUUGCUGUCACUUAUAGAUGGAUCCGCGUCGUAUUAGCUAGUUGGUAAGGUAACGGCUUACCAAGGCAACGAUACGUAGCCGACCUGAGAGGGUGAUCGGCCACACUGGAACUGAGACACGGUCCAGACUCCUACGGGAGGCAGCAGUAGGGAAUCUUCCGCAAUGGGCGAAAGCCUGACGGAGCAACGCCGCGUGAGUGAUGAAGGUCUUCGGAUCGUAAAACUCUGUUAUCAGGGAAGAACAAAUGUGUAAGUAACUGUGCACAUCUUGACGGUACCUGAUCAGAAAGCCACGGCUAACUACGUG